AUUGAACGCUGGCGGAAUGCUUUACACAUGCAAGUCGAACGGUAGAGGGGGCAACCCCUCGAGAGUGGCGAACGGGUGAGUAAUAUAUCGGAACGUGCCCAGUCGUGGGGGAUAACGUAGCGAAAGUUACGCUAAUACCGCAUACGAUCUAAGGAUGAAAGCGGGGGAUCGCAAGACCUCGCGCUAUUGGAGCGGCCGAUAUCAGAGUAGGUAGUUGGUGGGGUAAAGGCCUACCAAGCCGACGAGCUGUAGCUGGUCUGAGAGGACGACCAGCCACACUGGGACUGAGACACGGCCCAGACUCCUACGGGAGGCAGCAGUGGGGAAUUUUGGACAAUGGGCGCAAGCCUGAUCCAGCCAUGCCGCGUGCGGGAAGAAGGCCUUCGGGUUGUAAACCGCUUUUGUCAGGGAAGAAAUCCUCUGGGUUAAUACCUCGGGGAGAUGACGGUACCUGAAGAAUAAGCACCGGCUAACUACGUGCCAGCAGCCGCCGUAA
rnacentral:rRNA from 1 species